rnacentral:rRNA from 1 species
AGCGAACGCUGGCGGCAGGCCUAACACAUGCAAGUCGAGCGCCCCGCAAGGGGAGCGGCAGACGGGAGAGUAACACGUGGGAACGUGCCCUUUGGUUCGGAACAACCCAGGGAAACUUGGGCUAAUACCGGAUAAGCCCUCACGGGGAAUGAUUUAUCGCCGAAGGAUCGGCCCGCGUCUGAUUAGCUAGUUGGUGGGGUAAUGGCCCACCAAGGCGACGAUCAGUAGCUGGUCUGGGAGGAUGAUCAGCCUCACUGGGGCUGAGACACGGCCCAGACUCCUACGGGAAGCAGAAGUGGGGAAUAUUGGACAAUGGGCGCAAGCCUGAUCCAGCCAUGCCGCGUGGGUGGUGAAGGCCCUAGGGUUGUAAAGCCCUUUCGGCGGGGAAGAUAAUGACGGUACCCGCAGAAGAAGCCCCGGCUAACUUCGUGCCAGCAGCCGCCGUAACAC